ensembl:rRNA 5S_rRNA 5S ribosomal RNA
AUCUGCAGUCAUACCACCCUGAAUGCGCCCGACCUCACCUGACCUCAGAAGCUAAGCCAAGCGAGACCCUGUUAGUACUGGGAGGAGAAACAGAGAUGGAAGCCAGGCUCUGUGCUGCGAAUC